UACGUAGGGUGCAAGCGUUAAUCGGAAUUAUUGGGCGUAAAGCGCGCGCAGGUGGUUUCUUAAGUCUGAUGUGAAAUCCCCGGGCUCAACCUGGGAAUGGCGAUGAAGACUGCAAGGCUAGAAUCUGGCAGAGGGGGGUAGAAUUCCACGUGUAGCAGUGAAAUGCGUAGAGAUGUGGAGGAACACCGAUGGCGAAGGCAGCCCCCUGGGUCAAGAUUGACGCUCAUGCACGAAAGCGUGGGGAGCAAACAGG
rnacentral:rRNA from 1 species